GUUCUUCUGUCACAAUUCUUCACUUAUUUUUCAGUUCUUUACCUUGUCCUGCCGCAGCAUCAGUUUCUACACAAGCUCAGGGAAUCAGGAAACAAGGAGGAUAAGGGGAAGUUGACAGCCUGAAAAGCACUAUCAAAAGAUGAGAAUAAGCCAGUGGAGCUACACACAUAACUAAAAAGUGGCUGUAACCUUGUCCAUCUAGCUAGGCUGGAGCCUUGCCUGAAUGAACGUUCUGCCUCCACAGAGUUGGUAAUUUGUGUGAAAUGAGUUGGUGACCACUGUUGCUACUGGGAUGUUUUGUCUGUAUCACAAAAACACUACCACAUCUGGCACAAACAAAUCAUAAUAGUCUGAAACAGCCUAGAGGCUAACGACUUUAGAGGAAAUCCCAAACACUUAGGUAGAUUUCAACACCACAUAAUAUUUGUGCCUCUAGAGCUGUUCCAGAUCAGAAAUUAGGUAUGGAGUUCUCGCUACACCUACCACUGUGGCAUCUAAUCCGUGAAGACAAAAGUCUCAGUAUCCUCGCCUGUUAGUCAGGUCAUUUCAUAAACACUAUUUCCAGGCAAGUGUAAAGCUACUGCUCUGCUGGAAAUUCAGAAGAUGUGGACUCUAAGGACCUAUGAAGAAUAAUUUAGUCUUGGAAAGUCUGAGAAGAGGCAAGAUGCCAUUACACAAAUAUAUAAAACAAAGCUGCAAAGAGGAAGGAAAUAAGUAACUCUUCCUGUUUACUACGAGUAAAAAGCAGUGAGCUUAAAGUACAAGGAAAAUUAAGCGUAAAGAGAAGUGCCACACAACAACAACAGAAGCCAUGCAGCCACUCCUUUGAGCUGAACAGAAGCACCGUGCCAUCUCUCUUAGACAAAGGGCUGCGUGGCCAGGAAGUCGAUCUAAGAAGAGAGGCAGCAGCUCCUCCUUCCCUGCCUCUUAGGAGAGAGCAGUUUCUGCUGGGGUUGGGAGGUUGGGAGCCCUCCCCCAGCUCAGGAAUGCAGUUGUUCUGGAGAUCCAGUUUGAGAGCAUCCAUGCGGACUAAAGGGACAUUCCUAGUCUUAAGGCAGCGAGAUGGACUAGGUGUCUCACCUCCCCUCUAACUUACAUGAUGUGUUAGCUGCAAAGGGUGCAGUGCACAAACUGAAGCCUAAGCGUUAUAACGUCUUGUAAAGGAGUGGAGCAGAACACCAGCUACAUCAGCUGCACAGCUGGCCAAAGUGAGCAAAAGGGAGGAAGGGUGGUCUUUGAAAAACUCAUCUGGGGAAAAAAAAAAAGAAAAAAGAAAAAAAGAGAAAAAAAAAAGGCAUUUUUUUCCUAACAUAACAAGAAUUACGACUUUUUCCUCUGCUGCCAUCACGAGAGAUGACUGAAAUAAAGAUGAUGCAGCUGAGUGCUCCUGUUUAAUGCUCCUUCCGUAGGAAAUACUGUUGCAACACAUGCAGAAAAUAUCAGGGAUGCAAGGAAACUUAAAGAGGCAAAAGUGAGUUGAUUUAAAAUAAGAACUGAAACAAAACAGGCAGUCUCAUGCUAAGUGUGCGGUGCCCAAGAAGCCCAGCCAUAAGCCGGUGUACUCAAGCCAGCUCUGUUGUGUCCAGCUCCGUUGUGAAGGAGGAGAAAGGACGCCAUCUAUCCAAGCUCUCAUGUCUCCUGGGUGAAUUCCUGAGUUGGUUGCCGUGAACAGGUUUGGACAUCAAAACACAAUGUCUUUUCAGAGCUGACAGUAUCUCCAUGCAGCCACAGCUCUGGGAGCCAUCGGGACUAAUCACUCUUCUUUGUCUCCAGAUGUGUCUUUGUGAAGCAGCGGGCAGAUGCCCCGGGGUCUCGAUGACCGAUCUAGGAAGGGAACGUUCGCCCUUUUUCUUGAAGACCAGCACUGUGUUUGGCUCAUGGGCCCUCGGGGCAUUUUGAAAUGGUAAUUGGAAGAGAAAGAAGUUUACAGAAACCAUAUGAAGAAACACUAGUGCCUUCUUCAAAGUAUCAUAUUAAUGCUGCUUAAUGUAGGAGCCGUCUUGACUGGGUGCCUAUUUGGAUUUAGAUAAUUGCUAGCUUACCAGUUCAAACCAGUUCAAAAUGAGAAUGCGCAGCAUCCAAGAUUUACUCAUGUGCCUCUCGAUGGGUUUUUGUUGUUUUUUUUUCCUUCUUCUUCUUCUUCUUCUUCUUUUUUUUUCCUGCUGCUAAAGUCUGUCUGGUUUCAUCUUCCUUCAUCUUCUGUUACUUUGACCCUGCCUACAGGAGAAAGAUACACUUGAAAAACUGCAAGCUGCUCAUAAGCCAGUACAGUCUGGGCAUUCACAGAGAGAUCAAAGAGGGGAUAUAUAUGUGGAUAAUAAGUGGAUAUGUAUGACUUUUUUUCAUAUUGGGCAAGGCUAUAAUCUUAUUUAUCGAUUUUGUAGAAGGCUGUCUUUUUAAGUAUUUAACCUCUGUUCCGCGGAUUGUGUCUUCUGCUGAGGUGAAGACCCCGUCCCGCCAUUUCUUCCCAUUUGGAGGGCACAACCCGCAGAAGAAAGUGCUGGACUCUCUUCCUUCUGGUGUAGGGAAACGCACUGCUUUGCAAGUUCUUCCUGAUCGACCUGAUCUAACUUGAAAUAAGCCAUUUAUAUUCCUGCAAAGGAAUACCAGGUUAUCCACAUGGCCUUUUGCCCAGGCUUAACAUAAUUCCUUUAAGACAAACUGCAAAUGAAUAGUUGUGCAGUUUUCCUGUGCAGGCAAGCCCUUAAUCUAAUUGGAGCAUGGAAAACAGCAUCUGAGAAGGCAAAACAGUGUGUAGACUUGGGGAAUGAGAGUGGGAGGUAAUGUAACGUGGUGUCUAUUGGGGCUGAUGGAGAGAUCUGAAAAGAUAAGCUAAAAGUGAUUAAGGUUUUUAAAAUCCAAACUAGCAAGGAUUACAGGGAUAUGAAAAACAGAACCUGAGCCUGAACUUUUCCAUGUUCCGAGAACUGCCAUCUUCCUUCCUCUUGUUUUGAAACGGACGGGGUUCUGCCAACGCUAAACCUGCAGCAUACGGGCAGUGCUGCCUCUCAGUAUUAGCUAUUUCAAAAUAUAGCUCUCCCUUAAUAAGGAGCGCUAGCAACAUUGGGCAUUCCUCAGAUAGCUGAGGCCAUGGCUGCUUAACGUGAACACUUUUGGCAGCUGCAUUAUGUUGCACAAGCACCACCUUCAAAGGUCAAAUCUUGUCAGGUGUUCACACCUGUCUGCAGCAGAGGGGAGAACACUGGCAAGACACCUUAAAAUGCUAGGAAAGAUCUGACCCAUCCCAUACACGCAAUGUGACCAGGGCAAAUCCUCCACAGCCACAAGAGGCACGUGGCAGACUGAGAGACUCACUGGUGCAGUGGGGACAUUUAACUGAAGCAUGGGCCUGAGGCUGAAAGUGAGAGACUGGAUGUUUCACCAGGCUCUGGUCUGGGUACUAGCCAGCAGCAGCAGCAAUUGCUGCGAGGCUGGGCUGAGCACAGCUUUUUUGAGGCCAGCCAACAGACGUGUCAGGAGCCUACAGAGCUAAAACUAACUAGUACUUUUGUUCUUUCCACUGUUCGCCCAUACUUUCGCUCCCCUUUUCUGCCCUUUCAGUGGCAGCCUUGUGCAGCACUCAGGUCACCAGUCCCCGGGCCCUGACUCCAGCUCAAGAAGUAUCUGCUGUGGGCCUGAGCUGCAAGCAGCUCUUAUAGCGAUGCCCUAGGGAAGCACUCAGCAUGGGGAUGGAGAUAAAAGCUGUGUGAAGUUCAUGGGAUCAUUCCUCUCCAUGUCUGAUCUGAGCGUAACAGAGGAAAUAAGGACAAAACUACACUUGUACUUCUUCCGUUCCCACAGACACCAGUGACUACUUACUUGAUUGUGUCUCUAAACUAUUGCAGAAAAGAAAAAAGAAGACUCCACCAAAGAAAAACAGAAAAGCAUCGCAAGCUGCUUCAGACAAGGACUAGCAUAUGCUUCAGCUGGGCAAGAUGUGAACCCCUUUGAAGUUUUCAAACAUGCUUCAGGCACCUUUGCAGGGAUCACUCCGAAUGUGCUCUUCAUCAAGGCUUCCCCAAGUCAUUAUGUACGUACUAUUGGCCUCAACAUUCUUUCAGCCUCUGCCUGUCUGGGAGAGGAGGAAGAUGAGGGGAGACUGCAAGGCUUAGAUGGCAAUACACUAACCAAAGAACAGAGAAGCUCUUCAUCAGAUUACCUUUUAAUUCUUUAUGGAAGUUAAACACAUAAUAUUCUUCCUAAGAAUAAGGGUAGAGGUGUACUCAGCAUAGGCAGCGACAGAACGAAGUGCUGCAGCAUGAUGUGGAAGAUUUGGUAAAUAUGCUGUCCAAUGCUGUCCAGUUUAGUAAUCAUAUUUUUUUUAUUAUUGGCAACUUCCUUUAUUUGUUGAAGUAAGAUUUUGUAUCAAAACAGAGAGGAAAGACGGACAGUGCUAAAACCCUGAUGCAGUUCUACAGGCAACAGAAGAUUACACAGAUUUUCUUGAAGUUUCCCGACUUCUCCUCUAGGUUUGUGUUACGUGUACUUCAGGGCAGAUCUACCCUGAGAAAAUGUGGGUAAGCAUCCUUCACUCUCCUGUCUGCCCCUGCCCACCCAGGGAACAGUGCUGUGGCUCUGCACAGGCUCCUUUAGCAGCAGUGCCAACUGCAGCAUCUCCAGGUCCCUGUCUAACUUGCUUGGGGCUAGUUGCCCCUGCUCACGUUUGACUGGCAUGGGCAUUUGUGUAGCCACUCCAAACAGGUGGUUUAUUUCGGAGACUAAACUCAGCUGGAGGUGCGGAAUGAGGUAGGGACUACCUAAACUGAUAAUGUCAGUGAGAGAAAUGCUUGGAUUAAGUGUACCAGCAUUGCCCUGUGCACUAGGUUAAGGCAUGUAAGGCAGGAAAUACACUCCAAACUGAGGAAAGUCACCGACUAUGAAACAAUAUCCCACGGGCAUUUCUUUGGGCAGCAGAGUUGCCUUUUUUUUUUUUCCUGCUGCUAUGAACAAAGUUAUUUUAAGCUCAGAUCAGCUCCUUCAUUCACCGCACUGGCUGGCAUCACUAGCAGCUACACUGGGACAGUCACAGGAAUACCUUGAGGGCAGGAACAAAUGGCAAGGCAAGUGCUGGGAACUGCCUUAACCAGUACGGCUCUGUGUGAAAUAUCAGAAAAACAAGCCUCCGAAAUGUGAGGAAACAGGGAAGGCCCCUAAUCCUGUACAUCUGGGCUUGUUUUGAACUUAGAGAAGUGGUACCACCUUAAAAAAAUGCUUUGAAAUUUCAUUCUGCCUGAGAAUUGCUUCUGCAUGCAUUAUUUAAAACUUCUCCAUCGGUACAAGGAGUUUUCUGGCCGCUGCUGUAGGUAAAUGGAGAGUUUGUAGUGAAGUCUUCAUUAAUACCAUACCAACAGCUGCGGGUGCUUCUUCUUUUCAUGGUAUUGCUCUAAAUCUGUAAGACUAACUUUUGUUGCCUAAUAAUGUCCCUAGAAAUUUGAGAAGUGAUCGGGAGCAUUAAAAAAUUAUGCUAUUAAAGACAGAUAUCUGAUAUUUCUGAGAGGGUUACGCCACCACUGAGUGAAGACUGUUUCUUAGUCACUUAGUUAAAAACGGUCCUGGUUUUGGCUGGAAUUGAGUUAAUUUUCUUCCUCACCGCUGGUAGGGUGCUGUGUUCUGAACUUGGGAUGAGAACAACACCAAUAGCACAGCGAUGUAUUGGUUGGUGCUGAGCGGUGCUUACACAGAGCCAGGGAUGUUUCAGCUUCUGACGCUGCCCUACCAGCAAGGAGCUGGGGUGUGGAAGGAGCCAGGAGGGAACGCAGCCAGGACAGCUGACCCAGACUGCCCAAAGGGAUGUCCUGUACCAGGUGGUGUCCUGCUGAACUAUACAACUGGGGGAGCUGGUGAGGGGGCU
rnacentral:lncRNA from 1 species